rnacentral:ncRNA from 1 species
GCGAGCUGUAUGCGCUGAAAGGCGCACGUACAGUUCCUGGAAGGGGGGAGGAUGGUAACAUCCUCUCCCUAUUCGAC